rnacentral:rRNA from 1 species
AUUGAACGCUGGCGGCAUGCCUUACACAUGCAAGUCGAACGGCAGCGGACCUUCGGGUGCCGGCGAGUGGCGAACGGGUGAGUAAUGCAUCGGAACGUACCUUUCAGUGGGGGAUAACGUAGCGAAAGUUACGCUAAUACCGCAUAUUCUGUGAACAGGAAAGCAGGGGAUCGCAAGACCUUGCGCUGAUUGAGCGGCCGAUGUCAGAUUAGCUAGUUGGUGAGGUAAAGGCUCACCAAGGCGACGAUCUGUAGCGGGUCUGAGAGGAUGAUCCGCCACACUGGAACUGAGACACGGUCCAGACUCCUACGGGAGGCAGCAGUGGGGAAUUUUGGACAAUGGGGGCAACCCUGAUCCAGCCAUGCCGCGUGAGGGAAGAAGGCCUUCGGGUUGUAAAGCUCUUUCGGCCGGGAAGAAAUCGCACGGGCUAAUACCCUGUGUGGAUGACGGUACCGGAAUAAGAAGCACCGGCUAACUACGUGCCAGCAGCCGCAGUAAUAC